rnacentral:rRNA from 1 species
GAUGAACGCUGGCGGCGUGCCUAAUACAUGCAAGUCGAGCGAACAGACGAGGAGCUUGCUCCUCUGACGUUAGCGGCGGACGGGUGAGUAACACGUGGAUAACCUACCUAUAAGACUGGGAUAACUUCGGGAAACCGGAGCUAAUACCGGAUAAUAUAUUGAACCGCAUGGUUCAAUAGUGAAAGACGGUUUUGCUGUCACUUAUAGAUGGAUCCGCGCCGCAUUAGCUAGUUGGUAAGGUAACGGCUUACCAAGGCAACGAUGCGUAGCCGACCUGAGAGGGUGAUCGGCCACACUGGAACUGAGACACGGUCCAGACUCCUACGGGAGGCAGCAGUAGGGAAUCUUCCGCAAUGGGCGAAAGCCUGACGGAGCAACGCCGCGUGAGUGAUGAAGGUCUUCGGAUCGUAAAACUCUGUUAUUAGGGAAGAACAAAUGUGUAAGUAACUAUGCACGUCUUGACGGUACCUAAUCAGAAAUCCACGGCUAACUACGUG